AGUAAUUUUAUAAUAAUAAAAAUAUUUAAAUGGGGGUUUAAGUAUUUUUUAAAAAAAAAUUAUUUAUUUUAUAGGUAAUUAGUAUUGUAUAAGAAAUUUGAAAAAUUUUAAAUAGUUAACUGUAUUAAAGUAAAUUUUAUUUAUUGUAUCUUGUGUAUCAGAGUUUAUUAAAAAUAAUUUUAAAAUUGAAAAAUUCUCGAAUUUAAAAGAGUUAAUUAAUUAAUAAAUUUAUUGUAAUAUAAAUAUUUUAAAUAAUUAAUUAGUAAUGAAAUGUUAAUCGUUUUUAAAUAUAUCUAGUUUUUUUAGAAAUAAAUUUAAUUUAAAAUUUAAUUUAUUAAGAAAAAUUAAUUAAUUUAAUUUUUUAAAAUUAAAUUUAAAUAUUUAAAGGGAUAAGCUUUUAAGUAAAGAUUUAUAAUAAAAAAUAGUUUAUUAAAAAUUUUUAAAAUUUAAAUUAUUUAUUAAUUAUAGUUUGUUAAAAAUAAUUUUUUUUAAAUAAAAUUUUUUAUUUUUUAAUUUUAUAUAAAAAUAUAAUUUUUUAAUAAAAUAAGAAUAGAAAUAAUGAUAAAAUUAGUAUAUUAAUAUUUUUAUUAAAUUUAUGGAAAAAAAAUUAAUUUAAAUUUAAUUAUAGGAAUUCGGCAAAUAUUUAUAUUCACCUGUUUAUCAAAAACAUGUCUUUUUGGGAAUAAUUUAAAGUCUAAUCUGCCCACUGAUAAAAUUAAAGGGCUGCAGUAUUUUGACUGUACAAAGGUAGCAUAAUCAAUAGUCUCUUAAUUAGUGACUUGUAUGAAUGAUUGGAUGAAAUAUAAACUAUCUUUAAUUAAAAAGUAGAAUUUAAUUUUUUUAUUAAAAAGUAAAAAUAAAGUUAAAAGACGAGAAGACCCUAUAGAGUUUUAUAGAUUUUAUAAGUAAUAUUUAUUUAAAAAUUUAAAUUAUUUAAAAAUAAUUUAUUUUAUUGGGGUGAUGGAAAAAUUUAAAUAACUUUUUUUUAUAAAUUUACAUAAAUUAAUGGUUUAAUGAUCCAAUAAUAUUGAUUAUAAGAAAAAAUUACCUUAGGGAUAACAGCGUUAUUUUUUUUUUUAGAACAUAUAAGAAAAAAAGUUUGCGACCUCGAUGUUGGAUUAAGAUAAAAAUUAAAUGCAAAAGUUUAAAGUUUUGAUCUGUUCGAUCAUUAAAAUCUUACAUGAUCUGAGUUCAAACCGGUGUGAGCCAGGUUGGUUUCUAUCUUUAAUUAAAAAUAAUAUUUUAGUACGAAAGGAUCAAAUAUUAAAAAUAAUUUUAUUAUUCUGAAUUUCAAUAAUUAAAUUUUAAAUUUA
rnacentral:rRNA from 1 species